AAUACUUAUCAUUUGAAUUGAACAGCGCAGAAUAUUGAAAGACGUCUGAAAUCGUUUUCCACCUACCAGUGCAACUGGUACCUUGCCAGUUUCGCGAGUGUUUGCGUUACUGCAGUCACAUCAGUACUUUCUAGGUACUUAGCUGGAACACAAAAAAUCGUAAUCUACCGAAAACUAUUAUUGUUUUUUAUUAGUGUUAUGGUCAUAUGGAUAAUGACUGCUAAAAGCCUAAAAUAAUUGUACACUUUACAUUACUUUAAUUGUCAUAAACUGGUUAUUUGUGUACUUGAUAAUGACGACAACAACUAUAAAACUAUUUGUAGUUUAUGAACUUUGUCCAUAUUCCUCAACAGUGGCGUACAUAGGGAAUGCUAUAUAUUUCAUA